rnacentral:rRNA from 1 species
UACAGAGGUGGCAAGCGUUGUUCGGAAUUACUGGGCGUAAAGGGUUCGUAGGUGGCCUGCUAAGUCAGACGUGAAAUCCCUCAGCUUAACUGGGGAACUGCGUCUGAGACUGGUGGGCUUGAGUGCAGGAGAGGAACGCGGAAUUCCAGGUGUAGCGGUGAAAUGCGUAGAUAUCUGGAGGAACACCGGUGGCGAAGGCGGCGUUCUGGACUGUUACUGACACUGAUGAACGAAAGCCAGGGGAGCAAACGGG